AGGUCAAGAUACUAAGGGUUUAUGGUGGAUGCCCUGGCACUGGAGCCGAUGAAGGACGCGAUUACCUGCGAUAAGCCAAGACGAGCUGGAGAUACGCGUUGACUCUUGGAUUUCCGAAUGGGGAAACCCACUGGCCGUGAACGGCCAGUAUCCCGCAAGGGAAGGGAACGUGGGGAACUGAAACAUCUCAGUACCCACAGGAAGAGAAAGAGAAAUCGAUUCCGUGAGUAGCGGCGAGCGAAACCGGAACAGCCCAAACCCAGUCGUUUACGAUUGGGGGUUAUAGGACCACUAUUUAAGAUUCAAGCCGUUUAGCCGAAGCUGUUGGAAGCCAGCAUCACAGAGGGUGACAAUCCCGUAGGCGAAAAACGAAUUGACUGAAGUGGCACCUGAGUAGGUCGUUGUCCGUGAAACGAUGACUGAAUUCACGCGGACCACCGCGUAAGGCUAAAUACUCCCAGUGACCGAUAGCGCAAAGUACCGU
rnacentral:rRNA from 1 species